rnacentral:rRNA from 1 species
CAGCAGCCACGGGAAUACGUAGGGUGCAAGCGUUAAUCGGAAUUACUGGGCGUAAAGCGUGCGCAGGCGGUUAUAUAAGUCAGAUGUGAAAUCCCCGGGCUCAACCUGGGAACUGCAUUUGAGACUGUAUGGCUAGAGUAUGGCAGAGGGGGGUGGAAUUCCACGUGUAGCAGUGAAAUGCGUAGAGAUGUGGAGGAACACCGAUGGCGAAGGCAGCCCCCUGGGCCAAUACUGACGCUCAUGCACGAAAGCGUGGGGAGCAUACAGGAUUAGAUACCCGGGUAGUCCCUGUCUCUUAUAC